GACGAACGCUGGCGGCGUGCCUAACACAUGCAAGUCAACUUGAGGGAAGGAGCAAUCUGACCUGAUGGUGGCGCAAGGGUGCGUAACGCGUAAGUAACUUGCCCCAAGGUAAGGAAUAACGUCGAGAAAUCGGCGCUAAUACCUCAUAAUGCAGCGGAUCCGCAUGGAUAUGUUGUUAAAAGGUUUACCGCCUUGGGAUAGGCUUGCGUCUGAUUAGCUAGUUGGUGUGGUAAUGGCACACCAAGGCUACGAUCAGUAACUGGUCUGAGAGGAUGAUCAGUCACACUGGAACUGAGACACGGUCCAGACUCCUACGGAGGCAGCAGUGAGGAAU
rnacentral:rRNA from 1 species